AGAACGAACGCUGGCGGCGUGGAUAAGACAUGCAAGUCGAGCGGGAUUUCCUUUAGUAGCAAUACCGAAGGAAGUCUAGCGGCGAACGGGUGCUUAACACGUGGGCAACCUGCCAAGAAGUGGGGGAUAGCUCGCCGAAAGGCGAAUUAAUACCGCAUGUGAUUAGAGUGGACAUCCAUUCGAAAUUAAAGUCGGGGCAACCUGACGCUUUUUGUGGGGCCCGCGGCCUAUCAGCUAGUUGGUGAGGUAACGGCCCACCAAGGCUUUGACGGGUAGCUGGUCUGAGAGGACGACCAGCCACACUGGGACUGAGACACGGCCCAGACACCUACGGGUGGCAGCAGUCGAGAAUUUUUCUCAAUGGGGGAAACCCUGAAGGAGCGACGCCGCGUGGAGGAUGAAGGUCUUCGGGUUGUAAACCUCUUUCAGCAGGGACGAAGCGAAAGUGACGGUACCUGCAGAAGAAGCACCGGCCAACUACGUGCUAGCAGCCGCGGU
rnacentral:rRNA from 1 species